rnacentral:rRNA from 1 species
CCGGGUGAGUAAUACAUCGGAACGUGUCUUCUAGUGGGGGAUAACUAGCCCGAAACGGGACCUAAUACCGCAUGAGACCUGAGGGUGAAAGCGGGGGAGUCGCAAGACCUCGCGCUGGAAGAGCGGCCGAUGUCCGAUUAGCUAGUUGGUGAGGUAAAGGCUCACCAAGGCGACGAUCGGUAGCUGGUCUGAGAGGACGACCAGCCACACUGGGACUGAGACACGGCCCAG